rnacentral:misc_RNA from 1 species
UUUCUGAACUGGAUCAUGCCCUGGAGUCAUUGUUCCACAAAUAGCAUGGCCAACUUCAUGAUAUGCAACAAGGCUUUUACUCUUCCCAUCUGUCAUAACUGUUCCUUCCAUUCCAGCAACAAUCCGAUCAAUUGAGUCAUCAAUCUCUUUGGAUGAUAUUGCAGUCUUUCCACGUCGACCAGCCAAUAUAGCUGCCUCAUUUAAAAGGUUUGCAAGAUCAGCCCCACUGAAUCCAGGUGUUCUCAUUGCUAUCACAUCAAGAGAGACAUCUGCAUCAAAUUUCUUGUUGCUACCAUGAACUUUUAAUAUCUC